rnacentral:rRNA from 1 species
CCUACGGGGGGCUGCAGUGGGGAAUAUUGGACAAUGGGCGAAAGCCUGAUCCAGCCAUGCCGCGUGUGUGAAGAAGGCCUUCGGGUUGUAAAGCACUUUCAGUGGGGAAGAAAGCCUUGGGGCUAAUACCCUCGAGGAAGGACAUCACCCACAGAAGAAGCACCGGCUAACUCCGUGCCAGCAGCCGCGGUAAUACGGAGGGUGCGAGCGUUAAUCGGAAUUACUGGGCGUAAAGCGCGCGUAGGCGGUCUGAUAAGCCGGUUGUGAAAGCCCCGGGCUCAACCUGGGAACGGCAUCCGGAACUGUCAGGCUAGAGUGCAGGAAGGGAAGGUAGAAUUCCCGGUGUAGCGGUGAAAUGCGUAGAGCUCGGGAGGAAUACCAGUGGCGAAGGCGGCCUACUGGACUGACACUGACGCUGAGGUGCGAAAGCGUGGGUAGCAAACAGGAUUAGAUACCCCAGUAGUC